GGAGACGGAGGGUUUAUAGGUGGAGACGGAGGGUUUAUAGGUGGAGACGGAGGGUUUAUAGGUGGAGACGGAGGGUUCAUAGGUGGAGACGGAGGGUUUAUAGGUGGAGACGGAGGGUUUAUAGGUGGAGACGGAGGGUUUAUAGGUGGAGACGGAGGGUUUAUAGGUGGAGACGGAGGGUUCAUAGGUGGAGACGGAGGGUUUAUAGG